rnacentral:rRNA from 1 species
UUGGAGGGCAAGUCUGGUGCCAGCAGCCGCGGUAAUUCCAGCUCCAAUAGCGUAUAUUAAAGUUGUUGCAGUUAAAAAGUUCGUAGUUGAAUUUCGGAGUUUGUCGGUCGGUCGGGCUUCACUGUCCGCACUGGCCUGACGGAUUCCUACCUUCUGAAUAACCAGCAUGCUAUUAAGUUAGUGCGUUGGGGAAGCAGAGCUAUUACCUUGAAAAAAUUAGAGUGCUUAAAGCAGGCUUAUGCUUGAAUAGAUUAGCAUGGAAUAAUAAAAUAGGACGGCAUGGUUCUAUUUUGUUGGUUUCUAGGAUCACCGUAAUGAUUAAUAGGGAUAGUUGGGGGCAUUAGUAUUCAAUUGUCAGAGGCGAAAUUCUUGGACUUAUUGAAGACUAACUUCUGCGAAAGCAUUUGCCAAGGAUGUUUUCAUUAAUCAAGAACGAAAGUUAGGGGAUCGAAGACGAUCAGAUACCGUCGUAGUCUUAACCAUAAACUAUGCCGACUAGGGAUCGGACGAUGUUAAUUUUUUAAUGACUCGUUCGGCGCCUUACGGGAAAC